rnacentral:piRNA from 1 species
GGCCAAGCUGGUAGCCAGAAUAUGAA